rnacentral:rRNA from 1 species
UACGGAGGAUGCGAGCGUUAUCCGGAUUUAUUGGGUUUAAAGGGUGCGUAGGCGGAUGAAUAAGUCAGUGGUGAAAGGCUGCAGCUUAACUGUAGACUUGCCGUUGAUACUGUUUGGCUAGGAUUUGGUUGUAGUGUGCGGAAUGUGUGGUGUAGCGGUGAAAUGCUUAGAUAUCACACAGAACACCGAUUGCGAAGGCAGCACACUAAGUCAUUAUUGACGCUGAGGCACGAAAGUGUGGGGAUCAAACAGGA